AGUGAACGCUGGCGGUAGGCCUAACACAUGCAAGUCGAACGGCAGCACAGUAAGAGCUUGCUCUUACGGGUGGCGAGUGGCGGACGGGUGAGGAAUACAUCGGAAUCUACUUUUUCGUGGGGGAUAACGUAGGGAAACUUACGCUAAUACCGCAUACGACCUACGGGUGAAAGCAGGGGAUCUUCGGACCUUUCGCGAUUGAAUGAGCCGAUGUCGGAUUAGCUAGUUGGCGGGGUAAAGGCCCACCAAGGCGACGAUCCGUAGCUGGUCUGAGAGGAUGAUCAGCCACACUGGAACUGAGACACGGUCCAGACUCCUACGGGAGGCAGCAGUGGGGAAUAUUGGACAAUGGGCGAAAGCCUGAUCCAGCAAUACCGCGUGGGUGAAGAAGGCCUUCGGGUUGUAAAGCCCUUUUGUUGGGAAAGAAAAGCAGCAGGUUAAUACCCCGCUGUUCUGACGGUACCCAAAGAAUAAGCACCGGCUAACUUCGUG
rnacentral:rRNA from 1 species